GGCGACCGGCGCACGGGUGAGUAACACGUAUGCAAUCCACCUGUAACAGGGGGAUAACCCGGAGAAAUCCGGACUAAUACCCCAUAAUAUGGGCGCUCCGCAUGGAGGGCUCAUUAAAGAAAGCAAUUUUGGUUACAGACGAGCAUGCGCUCCAUUAGCCAGUUGGCGGGGUAACGGCCCACCAAAGCGACGAUGGAUAGGGGUUCUGAGAGGAAGGUCCCCCACAUUGGAACUGAGACACGGUCCAAACUCCUACGGGAGGCAGCAGUGAGGAAUAUUGGUCAAUGGUCGGCAGACUGAACCAGCCAAGUCGCGUGAGGGAAGACGGCCCUACGGGUUGUAAACCUCUUUUGUCGGAGAGUAAAGUACGCUACGUGUAGCGUAUUGCAAGUAUCCGAAGAAAAAGCAUCGGCUAACUCCGUGCCAGCAGCCGCGGUAAUACGGAGGAUGCGAGCGUUAUCCGGAUUUAUUGGGUUUAAAGGGUGCGUAGGCGGCACGCCAAGUCAGCGGUGAAAUUUCCGGGCUCAACCCGGAGUGUGCCGUUGAAACUGGCGAGCUAGAGUACACAAGAGGCAGGCGGAAUGCGUGGUGUAGCGGUGAAAUGCAUAGAUAUCACGCAGAACCCCGAUUGCGAAGGCAGCCUGCUAGGG
rnacentral:rRNA from 1 species